AUGAACGCUGGCGGCGUGCCUAAUACAUGCAAGUCGAGCGCACGGACGAGAAGCUUGCUUUUCUGAUGUUAGCGGCGGACGGGUGAGUAACACGUGGAUAACCUACCUAUAAGACUGGGAUAACUUCGGGAAACCGGAGCUAAUACCGGAUAAUAUUUUGAACCGCAUGGUUCAAAAGUGAAAGACGGUCUUGCUGUCACUUAUAGAUGGAUCCGCGCUGCAUUAGCUAGUUGGUAAGGUAACGGCUUACCAAGGCAACGAUGCAUAGCCGACCUGAGAGGGUGAUCGGCCACACUGGAACUGAGACACGGUCCAGACUCCUACGGGAGGCAGCAGUAGGGAAUCUUCCGCAAUGGGCGAAAGCCUGACGGAGCAACGCCGCGUGAGUGAUGAAGGUCUUCGGAUCGUAAAACUCUGUUAUUAGGGAAGAACAUAUGUGUAAGUAACUGUGCACAUCUUGACGGUACCUAAUCAGAAAGCCACGGCUAACAACGUG
rnacentral:rRNA from 1 species